CUGCGGAGGGAUCAUUACACAAAUAUGAAGGCGGGCUGGAACCUCUCGGGGUUACAGCCUUGCUGAAUUAUUCACCCUUGUCUUUUGCGUACUUCUUGUUUCCUUGGUGGGUUCGCCCACCACUAGGACAAACAUAAACCUUUUGUAAUUGCAAUCAGCGUCAGUAACAAAUUAAUAAUUACAACUUUCAACAACGGAUCUCUUGGUUCUGGCAUCGAUGAAGAACGCAGCGAAAUGCGAUAAGUAGUGUGAAUUGCAGAAUUCAGUGAAUCAUCGAAUCUUUGAACGCACAUUGCGCCCUUUGGUAUUCCAAAGGGCAUGCCUGUUCGAGCGUCAUUUGUACCCUCAAGCUUUGCUUGGUGUUGGGCGUCUUGUCUCUAGCUUUGCUGGAGACUCGCCUUAAAGUAAUUGGCAGCCGGCCUACUGGUUUCGGAGCGCAGCACAAGUCGCACUCUCUAUCAGCAAAGGUCUAGCAUCCAUUAAGCCUUUUUUUCAACUUUUGACCUCGGAUCAGGUAGGGAUACCCGCUGAACUUAAGCAUAUC
rnacentral:rRNA from 1 species